CCCGCCGCCUGCGUGAGGGGCGAGUCCGCGCCGCGCUUCUUUCCCCCCCACCCUCAGCGCGACGUCCCGGCUGAGGGGCACCUCGCUUCUCCAAACAAGGUGCUCUAGAAAACUGAUGGCGUUACCUAGUUGGGUCGCGAAACGUCUGCAAGAAAACAACUCGGAGAACACCAAGGAUCUCACAGUUCAACCCUGAGCGACAAAUAUUGCAUGCGUGCCAACCUGCCGCUUGUGUAAGCUGCGUGUGCGUUCCGGUUCCCCCCACCCCCCCACCCACCCCAGCCAGGUUCCCAAGCCAAAAAGGUUGGAGACCACCGCACUAGACCAAACCGGUUCUAAUCUCCUAGACCUAGAAGACAGCAGUUCUGCUACAUAAAUUUUGCAUCUGGAUGAAAAACUCCAGCUGUUUAUGGAGCUUCUCCAUCACCCAUGUCAUGGUUGUCCCAAAGGUGCUUUUUUCAAGAGGCAACUGGACUUUCUGUUUUUUUUCUUUGAAGACAUUUCUCUUCUCAUCCAGGAAGCUUCUUCACCUCUGACUCCGGAAUCCGCUCCAGCUGACUCGAACUGCCUGUACAAUUUUGAUCCUGCAUCCUUGAGGGUUGGACUACAAGACCUCCGAGGUCCCUUCCAACUCUUUGUUAUUCUAUGUUCUCUAUUCCUUGUUGAACAAGAUUUUGUGUUAAUGUGUCAUGUCCUUAUAAACUUCGCUACAGCAUUUAAUAGGUUUGACUCUUAAGGAUUUCAGCCUCGGGUGCCCAUUCUGUAAAUCAUUUCCUGUGACUUAAGUGCCACGGGGCAUAGCACGCCUGAAUGAAUAUCAGGAAGAGAAAUCGGUCUAAUUAUGGGUUUUGUACGGUUAUCAUAUUUCAUCAUACAGGAGUUAGGUUUAUGAGUUACGAAUAGAUUUAAAAAUGGUAAAAGCUUAACGAUUUCCACUAUUUAAAAAAAUAUUUUUGGCACUGUAUACAUGUGGACAGAUUUGUGGUAGCAAAUCUGGCAAAAAAUAAAUAAAUAAAAUAAAUCACGCGAGUAGAACAAUUCUGAGAAAA